rnacentral:lncRNA from 1 species
AGAUUUGCUUGCGUUAGGAAUUGAAAGAAAGGAAGACAGAGAAUCACCGUGACUCAGGGGAGAAGGAUGGGACAUAAGAGCUGCAGGAGAGAAAGCUGAUCGGCCAUGUAAGAAUUUGGGAUCCUCCUAUGGCUGGAUAGUCACUUUGCACUGCUGUUAUAAAAACACUAUUACCAAGGCGACUUAUAGAAAGAAGAUGGCUUAAGUUUCCCGGGGAAAGUCUGUAACAUCAGAAAGGCAUGGCUGUAGUCAUCUAGAACCACACACAAACUCAGAGAGAAACUACAUGUCGGGCAAGGUCAUAAGCUGUCAAAGCUCUCCCCACCAAGGGACGUGCUUCCUCCAGCAAUGCUGAACCUCCCCAGACACCACCACCAACUGGAGAUCAAGUGUUCAAAUAUCUGAGCUUUGCGGGGACAUUUCUCAUUUGAAACCCCCUCCCCAGAAGAGUCAUUCAGGAUGCCUUACAGUUUACAGGACAUGCUGUAAUCAAAGUAACUAUUAAAUGUUCCCAAGAUUUCUGAGACUUGCAAAGGACAUUUAAUAAAUAAAAAAAUGUACAGUGAAAUAAAAAAACAAUUAAGAAAAACA